UGGAUCUUUGUCAUCAAGCCACAGAUAAGGAAGAGGAGGAGGAUGACGAGGAAGAAACUGAUGGUGCUCAAGCACAGGCUGCAGUCGGCAAGGAUCCGAAAGUCCCAUUGCACACGGACAAGCAUCGCCGCUUUUGUCAUUGGUGAAGAUCCAGAACUCAUGGCCGUCAGAAGUUUGUGAUAGCGGUUGUGAUGCUGAUAUUCAUGAUCACCUUAGUCUGUGCAAUUCUGAUAUGGAUCGAGAUGGGGGACAAUGAGACUGUUGCCGAGAUCUACUCGGAUAUGCUUGCCAUUGUUAUUUUUUUGUCCGGUGGGGGCCUGGCAGGAUAUGGUAUGAGGGUUCCUUUCGGAACCGUAU